rnacentral:rRNA from 2 species
UGGGGAAUAUUGCACAAUGGGGGAAACCCUGAUGCAGCGACGCCGCGUGAACGAUGAAGGUAUUCGUAUCGUAAAGUUCUGUCCUAUGGGAAGAUAAUGACAGUACCAUAGAAGAAAGCUCCGGCUAAAUACGUGCCAGCAGCCGCGGUAAUACGUAUGGAGCGAGCGUUGUCCGGAAUUAUUGGGCGUAAAGGGUACGCAGGCGGUUUAAUAAGUCGAAUGUUAAAGAUCGGGGCUCAACCCCGUAAAGCAUUGGAAACUGAUAAACUUGAGUAGUGGAGAGGAAAGUGGAAUUCCUAGUGUAGUGGUGAAAUACGUAGAUAUUAGGAGGAAUACCAGUAGCGAAGGCGACUUUCUGGACACAAACUGACGCUGAGGUACGAAAGCGUGGGGAGCAAACAGG